AAUGGUCUUCGAUUGUUCUGUGCUCCUCCAUCCUCUAUUCUCUUUCAAGUAUUUAACAAACAAACAGAAAAUUAUUAAUAUUAGGGCACAAUGUGUGUUCAAAGUCAAGGAUUUGUGUCCAAAUGAUUAAACUGACUGCUGUAGAGUAGCCGAACAAUUUCAUAAUGUCUAGUCAAGAGAAAAUAGACGAGAUGCUUAAUCGUAUAAGGCAGCCAAACGGCCUCCCAACAAAUGGAAUUCGGGCAAGUCCUGGUGGAGGGACCAGUCCUAAUCGGAGGAAUCUUUCAUUGCCCAUGGAAGUAGGCGAGCCACGAAGAGUAACACCAAGGCCUAAUGCCUUGAAGUUUACAAUUAAUAGACAACAAAACAUUGAGACUGAAACAAAGCUUAAGGAAAUAAUGAAAAUAAGUGGAAAACUGAAAAUAAAUAACAUUGAAUAUAACACUGAUAUCAAAGAUCUAGAACUUAUUGAAGAGUUGGGACAUGGAACUUGCGGCCAUGUUUAUAAAAUGAAACACAAGAAGAGUAACGAAAUUAUUGCUGUUAAACAAAUGAGAAGAUCUGGAAAUUCUGAAGAGAAUAAAAGAAUCAUCAUGGAUAUUGAAGUGGUCCUCAAGAGUCACGAUUGUAAAUUUAUUGUGCAGUGUUUGGGCUGUUUUAUAACAGAAUCAGAGGUUUGGAUAUGUAUGGAACUGAUGGCUACCUGUUUCGAUAAAUUACUGAAGAAACUCAAAAAACCUAUUCCUGAAAGAAUUCUCGGAAAAGUGACGGUAGCUACGGUCGAAGCUCUGUCUUAUCUUAAAGACAAACAUGGGGUGAUGCAUCGUGAUGUUAAACCUUCAAACAUUCUCCUUGACGAAAAGGGAAAUGUCAAAUUGUGUGAUUUUGGUAUAAGCGGUAGGUUGGUUGAUUCAAUGGCUAAAACAAGAAGUGCUGGCUGUGCAGCAUACAUGGCUCCCGAGAGAAUAGAACCGAACCCCGAAAAUCCUGAUUAUGAUGUUCGUGCUGACGUUUGGUCCUUGGGAAUAACUCUUGUGGAACUGGCUACGGGGGUGUUUCCCUAUCAAGACUGCAAGACUGAUUUCGAGGUAUUGGCCAAAGUCAUCAACCAAGACCCGCCCUCGCUUCCGAAAAAUAAGGGGUUCAGUUCUGAUUUUCAAGAUUUCGUGUCGUGUUGCUUGCGGAAGCAACAUCAGAGCAGACCCAAGUAUCGAGAAUUGAAAAAGCAUGCGUUCAUUAAAAAGUACGAAACGGAGGAGGUAAAUGUCGGAAAAUGGUUUAUCGAAGCAGUGGAUGAGGCUGAUAGGUCAGCCAAUAGACAAAGCCUGACGCCGUCCGCCUUCCGUCGUUUCUUCACCUCGCAGCAGCCUCAGGCCGUCAAGGCCGCGAGCGCGGCCACGCCCCCCUUCACGCCCCUCCCGGUCAACGGGAACGCGGCUAGUCCCUACAGACUGCUGUCGGACACGCCUCCGACGUCCGACGCCCGCCCGACCGACCCCAGGGCGACGCACAGCUCGCGUCUGGGCGCCUUCCAGUCGCUGACGGGCCAGCGAGCGCGCGCGCAGCCCGUCGAGGACGCGAAGCCGCCCCCAAACGGCCUGCGCGAAACGAACUACUUCGUGCUGUCGCCGAAAAGAGACUCGCCCCUCCCCCUGCCCGGCUCGCUAAGAGACGAUGCCAUCAAGUUCGGUUCGCCGGUGUUGCCACGUCGGCAGGUCGACAGCCCGCUGGGCUCGCCCUACCCGCAGAAGAGGGGCGUGAGCGAGAGCAGGUGGAGGACGCCCAACACGUCGCCGUUGCCGCUCAGGGCCAACCAGCCGGGCGACGCGGACUGUUGUUGUAGCAAUACUAGUCCCAUUGUGUUUCAGAGGUUCAUACAUCAGCAGAAACAGCAGCAGCUUGCGAAGGAGGCGGAGGAGGAGGCGAAAUAUAAUCCCGGUAAAAAAAGGUUCACGUCUUACAUUAAACUGCAACUGAAUGGAGACAAAAAUGGUAGAUCGUCGCCACGACAUCAAAGCCCCGAACCGCCUCCUAGAUUGAGUAGACUGAACGGAGAUAGUCCCUUGCCGUUACGGAAAAAUAUAUUAGAUUCUAAUGGGGCUUCUCCUAGCUUGUCAAGAAGGUACGUCUCACCAUCGCCUCCUAUACCCCCACCUCGUAGAUUGUCAGAAAGCACUUCAGUACCUGGGUCGCCUCAGCAUUCGAAAGCUAGGUUCUACUAUACGCCAGAGCCUCAUAGACGCUUUUUGUCAUGAUAGCUAAUAAUUGACUUAGUUUGGAAUGAAUAUUGAUCCCUUCAUCGCUUCUUUCCAUGAAGAAUAAUGAGGAGUGAAUGAAGCGCUUCCAUCCAUCCAAUCCACACAAAAAAAAAGGAGAAAGACAAAGAUUAAUGGAAUAGGGCUUAUAACUCCGAAGUUUUGAAUUCUACUCUUUAAAAAUCCUAAUUCUUAUCUUAGGUUUUGAAGAAAGGUAACUAAUUGGUUUCAUUAUCAACCGAAUCUACGUGGCUGUAUUUUUCGGCAAAAUUUUCUGCUUUGUUCUGUUAUAAGAUCUCUGAUCAACUAUAUAUAAUCCUCGAUCGAAAUUAUCUUUAAUUCUGCUGCUCGUGAAAGUUUAGUAUGAUAUUCAGAGAAAUGCCGAAACGAUUCUAUGUCAUUUCAUGAAUCGGUUUCGGAUAGUUUCUCUGUAUCUGCUUCUCGGUCUUCAGCAUUGCUCCAUCUCGAUCAUUUUCAGCUAUUGAAUUCAAAAAAUUAUAUUUCGACCUAUACUCGGAAGGGAAUGUUUAAUCACAGACUGAAAGGGAUCUAGUAUUUUGGUUUGAACGAGACUUUUUGCAAUAUUUCCCCCAUUUUAUUUCUCAAUGCAUAUUACAUUUUCCCGAUGUAAACUUGCAAACGGAAAAUAGUCAUAUAUUUUACUAGUCCUUAUUUAAUAAUUUGUAGUUAAGUCGUGAACACACCUCAAAACAAAAUAGAUUUAUCAUAAUUUUGAGACGAUUGUAUAAUUUGUACAUAAAAAAUAAAUUAUGAAUUUAAAA